rnacentral:rRNA from 1 species
UGCCAGCAGCCGCGGUAAUACGAAGGGUGCUAGCGUUGUUCGGAAUUACUGGGCGUAAAGAGCAUGUAGGCGGAUGAAUUAGUCAGAGGUGAAAGCCCCGAGCUCAACCGUGGAAGAGCAUUUGAAACUGGGAGACUUGAGUCCCGAAGAGGGUGGCGGAAUGCCCAGUGUAGAGGUGAAAUUCGCAGAUAUUGGGUAGAACACCGGUGGCGAAGGCGGCCGCCUGGGAGGGCACUGACGCUGAGACGCGAAAGCGUGGGGAGCAAACAGGAUUAGAUA